rnacentral:rRNA from 1 species
GAUGAACGCUAGCUACAGGCUUAACACAUGCAAGUCGAGGGGAAACGGCAUCGAAAGCUUGCUUUUGAUGGGCGUCGACCGGCGCACGGGUGAGUAACGCGUAUCCAACCUACCCAUCACUUGGGAAUAACCUUGCGAAAGUAAGACUAAUGCCCAAUGACAUCCCACGAAGGCAUCCGAAUGGGAUUAAAGAUUUAUCGGUGAUGGAUGGGGAUGCGUCUGAUUAGCUUGUUGGCGGGGUGACGGCCCACCAAGGCAACGAUCAGUAGGGGUUCUGAGAGGAAGGUCCCCCACAUUGGAACUGAGACACGGUCCAAACUCCUACGGGAGGCAGCAGUGAGGAAUAUUGGUCAAUGGGCGAGAGCCUGAACCAGCCAAGUAGCGUGCAGGAUGACGGCCCUAUGGGUUGUAAACUGCUUUUAUAAGGGAAUAAAGUGGGUCACGUGUGACUUUUUGCAUGUACCUUAUGAAUAAGGACCGGCUAAUUCCGUG